rnacentral:rRNA from 1 species
CGGACGGGUGAGUAACGCGUGGGUAACCUGCCUUAUACAGGGGGAUAACAGUCAGAAAUGGCUGCUAAUACCGCAUAAGCGCACAGAGCUGCAUGGCUCAGUGUGAAAAACUCCGGUGGUAUAAGAUGGACCCGCGUUGGAUUAGCUAGUUGGUGGGGUAACGGCCCACCAAGGCGACGAUCCAUAGCCGGCCUGAGAGGGUGAACGGUCACAUUGGGACUGAGACACGGCCCAGACUCCUACGGGAGGCAGCAUG